rnacentral:rRNA from 1 species
AGCGAACGCUGGCGGCAGGCCUAAACACAUGCAAGUCGAACGAGCUCUUCGGAGCUAGUGGCGAACGGGUGCGUAAUACAUAGGAAUCUACCUCUUACUGGGGGAUAACAGCUGGAAACAGCUGCUAAUACCGCAUACUCCAUAUUGGGAAAGCUCAGGCGGUAAGAGAGGAGCCUAUGGCUGAUUAGCUUGUUGGUGAGGUAACGGCUCACCAAGGCAACGAUCAGUAGCUGGUCUGAGAGGAUGAUCAGCCACACUGGGACUGAGACACGGCCCAGACUCCUACGGGAGGCAGCAGUGGGGAAUCUUGCGCAAUGGGGGCAACCCUGACGCAGCCAUGCCGCGUGAAUGAUGAAGGUCUUAGGAUUGUAAAGUUCUUUCGUUGGGGAAGAUAAUGACGGUACCCAAAGAAGAAGUCCCGGCUAACUCCGUG